GUUGAACGCUAGCCGCAUGCAUAACACAUGCAAGUUGUAUGGAAUCCCAAUUGUUUAAGACAGUUGGGCAAUUCCAUGGCGAACGGGUGCGUAACGCGUGAGAAUCAACCCUUAGGAAGGGGAUAACCUUCGGAAACGAAGAUGAAUACCCUAUAUCCCGAGAGGGAAAAGCAUUAAAUAUGCGCCUAAGGACGAGCUUGCGUCUGAUUAGUUUGUUGGUAAGGUAAUAGCUUACCAAGGCGAUGAUCAGUAGCUGGUCUGAGAGGAUGAUCAGCCACACUGGUACUGAGACACGGACCAGACCGCUACGGCGGGCAGCAGUGAGGAAUAUUCCGCAAUGGGCGAAAGCCUGACGGAGCGAUGCGGCGUGGAGGAUGAAGGUCUACGGAUUGUAAACUCCUUUACCUAGAGAAGAAAUUUGACGGUAUCUAGGCAAAAAGCAUUGGCUAACUCCGUGCCAGCAGCCGCGGUAAGACGGGGAAUGCAAGCGUUAUCCGGAAUUAUUGGGCGUAAAGAGCCUGUAGGUGGCUUUCAAAGUCUUUUGUGAAAGGGUACGGCUCAACCGUACAUGUGCAAAAGAAACUUGGAAGCUUGAGUAUGGGAAGAGUCGAGGGAAUUCUUAGUGGAGCGGUGAAAUGCGUAGAUAUUAAGAGGAACACCAGAGGCGAAGGCACUCGACUGGCCCAUGACUGACACUGAGAGGCGACAGCUGAGGGAGUGAAAUGGAUUAGAGACCCAUGUAAUCUCAGCCGUAAAUGGUGGAGACUAGGUGUUGGGAAAUUUAAUUCUCAGUGCCGUAGCUAACGCGUUAAGUCUCCCGCCUGGGAAGUACGCUCGCAAGAGUGAAACUCAAAGAAAUUGACGGGGGUCAGCACAAGUGGAGGAGCAUGCUGUUUAAUUCGAUGCAACACGAAGAACCUUACCAAGGCUUGACAUGCCAUAAACAUGAAGGAAACUUCAUGGUGCCCGAUAGGGAAUAUGGACACAGGUGGUGCAUGGCUGUCGUCAGCUCGUGCUGUGAGGUGUAGCGUUAAGUCGCAUAACGAGCGCAACCCUUGUGUCGUGUUAUUUAUCACGACAGACUGCCGAUGAUAAAUCGGAGGAAGGAGAGGAUGACGUCAAGUCAUCAUGCCCCUUAUGCCUUGGGCGACAAGCGUGCUACAAUGGGUAGGACAAAGAGAAGCAAAUUCGCAAGAAUGAGCAAAUCUCAAAAACCUACUCUCAGUUCGGAUUGUUGACUGAAACUCGUCAACAUGAAGAUGGAUUCACUAGUAAUCGCUGGUCAGCCAUACAGCGGUGAAUACGUACUCUGACCUUGUACACACCGCCCGUCACACCCGGGAAGCUGUCUAGGGCCGAAGUCGUUACUCUAACCCUACGGGGAGGAGGACGCCUAAGUCAGAGACGGUGACUCGGGUGAAGUCGUAACAAGGUAGCCAAGGGCG
rnacentral:rRNA from 1 species